GAGAUAUGUAUGUACUUGUACUUCAAGGUGUAUUUUGACUAUACACAUGAAAGUCACCCUUUCUAUAACGAGUGUGAGGUGUUCUCUUAAUCUUCUACAUUUAUGGUGUUGUAUGAUCAAUUUAGUGUAAUAGAACCAUUGUGCUGAUAUGCUGGCUUUUCCUUCAACAAACUCUCAGGCUGGAAAAAGUUGCUUCUCAUUACUAAUUCAUAUUUCCAUUAUACAAACAAAAUGAUGAAUCAUGCAUUCAAUCGCUUUCUUCCUAAUGAUGUGGGAUGGAGAAAUCUGUUUGAAAUGGUUAUAGUCUCUGCAAGGAAGCCAGAAUUUUUCCAGCUUUCACAUCCAUUGUAUGAGGUUGUAACAGAUGAUGGACUGAUGUGUCCCUGUUUUAAAGUAAAUUCAGGUCAGAUUCUUCAUGGUUCACGCUAUUACUGUUGUGAACCAGUAACUCAUAGAACCUCUAAUAAUUCUUUUUCUGUCACUGUGAAUGAACAUGUUUCGUUCCAAACAUUUUAUGCGCCCAAGUCAUUCCUGUUAUGGUAUUAUCUGGUUCAUUAUCUGACACUCAUCAAUCCUUAGGCUGUUGAACUCAUGCUUGUCGAUGCACUCAUUGAGGCUAAUGACUACUUGGGGAUAUCAUUGCAUGCACACGACCCAGAAGAUUUUUGGAAGUUGGAUGACACAAUCAUCAAAACCAUUGAGACUGCUCCCAACAAUGAACUGAAAAAA